CCUACGGGAGGCAGCAGUGAGGAAUAUUGGUCAAUGGACGGAAGUCUGAACCAGCCAUGCCGCGUGCAGGAAGACGGCUCUAUGAGUUGUAAACUGCUUUUGUACAAGGGUAAACCUUAAUACGUAUAUUCUGCUGAAAGUACUGUACGAAUAAGGAUCGGCUAACUCCGUGCCAGCAGCCGCGGUAAUACGGAGGAGCCAAGCGUUAUCCGGAUUUAUUGGGUUUAAAGGGUGCGUAGGCGGAUUGAUAAGUUAGAUGUGAAAUGUCCGGGCUUAACUCGGGAACUGCAUCUAAUACUGUUGAUCUAGAGGGUCGGUGAGGUAGGCGGAAUGUAUGGUGUAGCGGUGAAAUGCUUAGAGAUCA
rnacentral:rRNA from 1 species